UGUCUCCUCCACUUCCUCCUCCAAGGAUUGGAAUUAGCCCGCCACAGCGCGGGCUUUUUUUU
rnacentral:ncRNA from 1 species